UUUGUGGGGAACAACUUCGAGAAAUCGGAGCUAAUACCGCAUAAUAAUAGAGGAUCGCAUGAUUCUUUAAGGAAAGAUGGCCUCUGAAGAUGCUAUCGCAAAAGGAUGGACCCGCGUCUGAUUAGCUAGUUGGAAGGGUAACGGCCUACCAAGGCAACGAUCAGUAGCCGGCCUGAGAGGGUGAACGGCCACAUUGGGACUGAGACACGGCCCAAACUCCUACGGGAGGCAGCAGUGGGGAAUCUUCCGCAAUGGGCGAAAGCCUGACGGAGCAAUGCCGCGUGAGUGAAGAAGGCCUUCGGGUUGUAAAACUCUGUCCUUAUCGAAGAGAGGUAGGUAUGUGAAUAAUGUACCUAUAGGACGGUAGAUAAGGAGGAAGCCCCGGCUAACUACGUGCCAGCAGCCGCGGUAAUACGUAGGGGGCGAGCGUUGUCCGGAAUCACUGGGCGUAAAGGGCGCGUAGGCGGUUUAAUAAGUCAGUGGUGAAAACUGAGGGCUCAACCCUCAGCCUGCCACUGAUACUGUUAGACUUGAGUAUGGAAGAGGAGAAUGGAAUUCCUAGUGUAGCGGUGAAAUGCGUAGAUAUUAGGAGGAACACCAGUGGCGAAGGCGAUUCUCUGGGCCAAGACUGACGCUGAGGCGCGAAAGCGUGGGGAGCAAACAGGAUUAGAUACCCUGGUAGUCCACGCCGUAAACGAUGGAUACUAGGUGUUAGUAGUUUCGAUGCUACUAGUGCCGGAGUAAACACAAUAAGUAUCCCGCCUGGGGAGUACGGUCGCAAGACUGAAACUCAAAGGAAUUGACGGGGGCCCGCACAAGCGGUGGAGCAUGUGGUUUAAUUCGACGCAACGCGAAGAACCUUACCAAGACUUGACAUCCUCCUGACAAGAUAUGUAAUGUAUCUCUUUUCUUCGGAGACAGGAGAGACAGGUGGUGCAUGGUUGUCGUCAGCUCGUGUCGUGAGAUGUUGGGUUAAGUCCCGCAACGAGCGCAACCCUUAUUUCUAGUUGCCAGCAGUAAGAUGGGGACUCUAGAGAGACUGCCAGUGACAAACUGGAGGAAGGUGGGGAUGACGUCAAAUCAUCAUGCCCCUUAUGUCUUGGGCUACACACGUGCUACAAUGGUCAGAACAGAGGGAAGCGAAGCCGCGAGGUGGAGCAAAUCCCAGAAAACUGAUCUCAGUUCGGAUUGCAGGCUGCAACCCGCCUGCAUGAAGUCGGAAUCGCUAGUAAUCGCGGGUCAGCAUACCGCGGUGAAUACGUUCCCGGGCCUUGUACACACCGCCCGUCACACCACGAAAGUUAGUAACACCCGAAGCCGGUGGCCUAACCCGCAAGGGAGGGAGCUGUCGAAGGUGGGACUGAUGAUUGGGGUGAAGUCGUAACAAGGUACCC
rnacentral:rRNA from 1 species